UCGCACCUACCGAUUGAAUGAUUCGGUGAAAAUUCUGGACUGUGGCUCGGACGCCUUCGGGCGACUUUGCUGUGGGAAGUUAUUUAAACCUCAUCAUUUAGAGGAAGGUGAAGUCGUAACAAGGUUUCCGUAGGUGAACCUGCGGAAGGAUCAUUACCACACCCUUCAAAAGA
rnacentral:rRNA from 1 species